rnacentral:rRNA from 1 species
ACGAACGCUGGCGGCGUGCUUAACACAUGCAAGUCGAGCGGUAAGGCCCUUUCGGGGGUACACGAGCGGCGAACGGGUGAGUAACACGUGGGUGACCUGCCCUCAGCUCUGGGAUAAGCCUGGGAAACUGGGUCUAAUACCGGAUAUGACUCCAUGACGCAUGUUGUGGGGUGGAAAGCCUUGUGCGGCUGAGGAUGGGCCCGCGGCCUAUCAGCUUGUUGGUGGGGGAUGGCCUACCAAGGCGACGACGGGUAGCCGGCCUGAGAGGGCGACCGGCCACACUGGGACUGAGACACGGCCCAGACUCCUACGGGAGGCAGCAGGUGGGGAAUCUUGCGCAAGUGGGCGAAAGCCUGACGCAGCGACGCCGCGUAAGGGAUGACGGCCUGGU